CAAGUUUAGUAUUAGAGUCUACAAUGAACCAUUUUAAAAACACAUGGAAUAGUAUAGAGGGCUGAGAAUGUAAAUACGUUUUCUUGAGGCUUCGAGCUCUCCAACGUGCUGCAACAAAGAUUAUUUGGGUUGGCUAAGGGGAUUCUCAUGUAUGAGUUGUUUGAGUGCUAAAAAUCUGAUGAAUGGUCUGAUGACAUGCUUUGAAGUUUUCUUGUACAUGAAAAGCUAUGCGUAUCAGCAUAAGCUGUCGUCUCAAUCUGAUGGGGCAAAUACUCUAGUUCAAGGCUAUUACAAAGUUGAUGGAAGAGAUGCCAUGGUUAAUACGCUUCCUUUGAUAAAGUUCUCCAAACUCCAUUUUCAUCAGAUUUUGAUAAUUGUGAUUCUUUGAAAUGAAUCAGAUAAAUGGACUAUGUAGAAGGUCAAAAUUUUUAUGUAGGAGAGGUACAGUUCAGUGCUGAGGUUUUCUGAGAGGAAGGAUCAAACUUUUUGGCAAUACAGUUCAUGUGGAAUGCAAUCUGGUGGUGAAAGAGAGUGUCGAUGCCUUGUAAGGGAACCUGUUAUUAAAAAUACUUGGCAUUGAGAGUCUACAAUCACAAUAGCGAGCCCAUGGAAAUAUACAUGAGGUUGAGAGAGAGAUUUUCUUGAGGCCUAGAGCUUUUCAAGAAUCUGCAUGAAGAUGAUUCUGGCUGACUAUAGGGAUUCUCGUGCAUGACUUACACUUCUCUUUGUGAUUUUAAUACUUUGAUUCAAGGAAAUUUAUCUGAUUUUCGUAACUUCUGAUUUCUUUCUGCUUUUGACCGAGUUUCAUACUCAGCAGAAUCAAAAAGAUCUUCAUACAUUGCCAUUUAUUUUAAACUUGUAUGAAAUUGUGAAUCUUUCGUUCAUUGUUUACAAGGUAAAGAAAAGAGAUAUGGAUAAGCCAAUACACGGAGAAGUUACUUGUUGGAUUUUAAGUCAAGCAUUGCAGAAACAGAAUUUGUAUCUAUUCAGAUGACUAAUGCUGCUAAUGAGGCUUGUUAACGAAACAUAACCUGGUCUCCUUAAGAAGCUUUCAUCUGUUGAAGAUUGUAAGUUGGCACAUCUGAAAAGCUUGAGUUGUAAAUCGCCUACCAAUUCAUCCGAAGCCUCCCUAUAGGAUGCAUGUCUUCUGAUCUAAAGGGAAGUUGUUGCAACAUGAGCAGCUGCCCAACAUUGAAUGGUGCAAGCAUUACCAGAUUCCCUACUUUGAGAUUGAUCAUAUUCUAACUUGAUGCUAAGUUCUCAAAAUUUGCUCAAAUUAUCAGAAAAUUCGUCUACGCCUAUGUUUAAGGAUGUUUCAGUGCAAUAUAUUCCAACCAUUAUACUGUCUUUAGUUGUGUAUAUUCAAUCUCAUGAUGCUAUACAUUUUUUUGAUAUUUUGAGGAAGAUUUCCUUAUUGCUAGGUGUAAAAGCCAAUGACUAUUA